rnacentral:rRNA from 1 species
CCUACGGGUGGCAGCAGUGGGGAAUCUUGCACAAUGGGGGAAACCCUGAUGCAGCGACGCCGCGUGAGUGAAGAAGUUUUUCGGUAUGUAAAGCUCUAUCAGCAGGGAAGAAAAUGACGGUACCUGACUGAGAAGCCCCGGCUAACUACGGGCCAGCAGCCGAGGGAAUACGUGGGGGGCAAGCGUUAUCCGGAUUUACUGGGGGUAAAGGGGGCGUAGACGGUAGCGCAAGUCUGGAGUGAAAUCCCAGGGCUUAACCAUGGAACUGCUUUGGAAACUGUGCAGCUGGAGUGCAGGAGAGGUAAGCGGAAUUCCUAGUGUAGCGGGGAAAUGCGUAGAUAUUAGGAGGAACACCAGUGGCGAAGGCGGCUUACUGGACUGUAACUGACGUUGAGGCUCGAAAGCGUGGGGAGCAAACAGGAUUAGAUACCCUAGUAGUC